AGAGCUUUCAAAACCUGUCCCGCGCUGCAGUCUUUUGUGUCGGGACAUGCGGGAGGGACCUCUAGUUCCCAAUGAAUUUGUCAGAGUUGUGCAUAAUACAAUGUGUUCUUGAUUUUUCCAGGACGAUAUGAUCUCAGUAUGCCUGAGAUGAAAUGCGAGGCAUGCAAAACCACAUGGAGCCCUGGAGUGGAUGACUUAGUCCGUAAUGACUACUGGCCUGCUACCCUUCACUUUUCCACAGUGUACUCUACAGAUGUGUUUUAUUCAUAUGAAGAGUUGAAGAUGGCAGCACCAGGACUGUCAUGCCAAGCAUUUUUAAGAAUGCUUGAUCAACGAACUCUCCGCUUUGGCCGUGUGAGUAUUAGUGGUGGGAAUCACUAACAACUAGUACUAGUAUUAACGUGUAUUGUAGAAUGACUAUGGUGACAUUAUCAACACAUUGAUUAUUAUAAUUGGAGCAUGUUGAUGAUAUCAAAACACAGUGAUUUAGCUAUACACGAUACAUUGACAGAACGUCAUCUAAUAUUCCAAAUUUUUGUGUAAAAACUACCGCUCUGUAAAAAAAUCUAAAUUCGUACACUAAAUGUAAAAAUUUUUUGGUUGUGAUGUUUUCUGUCCGUGACAUACAAAGAGCCAAAAGAUUUCCAAUGAUGCACUGGGCUGAGCAGCUGCCUUUGGAGGCUCGAUGGUGGAGGAUUUGGCGUCACCUUUGACCUUACUGACUUUAGUUUACUGUGAAUUAUGUUGGCAUGUUUUAUUGUUCUGAAACAGAUUGGGAAGAUCACAGCAGACAGCUUCAGAAAAAGUUUUUUGGAGUGGGAGGCUGUUAGAUUUGAGGUGGAUAAGAUCUGCAGGGAGGAGCAUUUUGUCUGCCCUGCAUGCACCCCAGACAUGCUUGCUGUUUCUGUGGAUGGAAAUCGCAAGCACUACCGCUUUAAGAAUGCAGCAAGAUCUGAAGAAAAAGCCUUAUUUGAUGGCAUCUUCAUUGCAAAAGAUGAUGAAGUAGAGAGAUUUGUGGAUUACAUUCAUUCUACCACCAACCAUGUCUCUGGAAGAGGUGUCUGUGGAGGGGAGUGGUCAGCUGCAAGGGAAACGUCUCAGAAAUCCUCAAGUAAAAUUGAUGAGGAGGGACUUGAGCUUGCAGUCUGUCGACAUGGAGUUUUUCUCACCGCUCUCAACAUGUUCAGGGGAGAAAUAUAUGCUUAUCCCCUCUACCUGCAGAACAAGCUGGCAAAUACGCCAAUAAGCUUUUUUGCCAUGGAUGUAACCUGCAAGUACUGGCCUUACCUCAACAAAGUCACAAAAAGCUGCCCGGAGCUCCAGCACCUUCUGAGCAUGAAACCAUUCCUCUCAGUGUUUCAUGCCAAAGCCCAUGAUUUUAAAUGCGAGGUAAGAAAACAUUACAAUGUCAUUGACUGUCCCUAAACACCUGCAAAGGAAUGUUGGCAGCUUUUAAGUAUUUUCUUCAAUAGGUUAAAUGGAGUGGAGCUUACCAGCAAGGGGCCGGAUUGACACUUGGCGAGGAGGUUGAGCAGUGUAACGCCUUCCUCUCUAGGAUUGCUGUGACCACGAAGCACAUGUCCAAAGCAGGUAAGGUAACCACACACUGCACUAGACUGAAAGUGUUACAAGAAAAUUGUAGCCAGUGAGGGACAUGUGGUGUU
ensembl:lncRNA